UACGUAGGGUGCGAGCGUUGUCCGGAAUUACUGGGCGUAAAGAGCUCGUAGGUGGUUUGUCGCGUUUGUUCGUGAAAACCGGGGGCUUAACCCUCGGCGUGCGGGCGAUACGGGCAGACUUGAGUACUGCAGGGGAGACUGGAAUUCCUGGUGUAGCGGUGGAAUGCGCAGAUAUCAGGAGGAACACCGGUGGCGAAGGCGGGUCUCUGGGCAGUAACUGACGCUGAGGAGCGAAAGCGUGGGGAGCAAACAGG
rnacentral:rRNA from 1 species